rnacentral:tRNA from 1 species
GGGGAUUUGGCUCAGUGGUAGAGCACUUGCCUAGCAAGCACAAGGCCCUGGGUUCGGUCCUCAGCUCCG